AAGGUAUCCCACUUUUGGGGGGCCAAACAAAUGCAUGACCCCCAUAUAUUUUGAUUUUAUGACUACCUGUAACUUCUGCUUCCCUAAAAUGUAUGAAACAGAGUUGUGACCUAGCUGUCUUGGGACCACUUAGUGAAGGCUUCUUGGGUUUGCACAUUUCCCCAGACUAUGGUCAUGCAUAUUGGCUCAGAAUAAACCUCUUUAAAAUAUUUUACAGAGCUCGGUUUUUCCACUAACAUAGGCUAAGUAGGCUAUACCAUCUAGGCUUGUGUGAGUCCACUCUAUGAUUUUUGCACAAGGAUGAAAUUGCCUAAUGACACAUUUCUCAGUAUGUAUGCCCAUCGUUAAGUGAUGCAUGACUUAGAUUUGAGUUAAAGGUUUAGAGUUUUUUAAGCCUUAAAUCAAUUCUAGAGGAUUGAAUUACUAAUUUCAAAAUUGCAUCAGAUUGUUUCAAUGUUACUUUUAGGGAUAAAUGUUAAAAACACUAAUUCCAUAAUUAAUCACCACAAUUUAAUUUUUGUGUCUCUCAAACUGUUUAGUUGUUUAAAAAAAAGAGAGAAACAAGGAAAGUGAGUGAAUCCCAUAGGUUUCCAAUUAAAUAAGCAGUCAAUCUAUAACAUCAGAGAUAUAAUUUAAAAUAGAGCAUGGAUUAUGGUCUGCCUGUAUUUUAGUUUCUUGUGCAGUAGCGGGGCUAAGGGCUAGGAAUCUGUCACAUGGAGGCAUAUCUGAAAGUCUGGUGGGGGAAUUUCCUUCAGGAGAGGGUCAGUAGGAAAGACCAAGGGAGCCUCAGGGCAAAAGAACUCAGGUUGAGGGAGGAGAGCUGAUGUAGUCAAGCCGGAGUAAAACAGGGACUAUACUGCUUACAGGGACUGUACUGCUUAUCAGAUUUUCUUCAUCAGGGACUGUUGAGAGGGACCUGGGGAGACAGGAUGGUAAAAACCAAAACAGUUCUAUCAGCAGCUCUAGAAGCUGUUGGAAGAGAAUGGCCACUGUACCUCACUCAUUCUCGUUUUCUUCACCCCAAGGAGGCAUUUGUUUGGGAACUGCGGCCUUGUGUGGCUCAAGCUCCAGCCGAGGAACAGAUGGUGCAGCGAGAGGGUCUUGCAGCAACUAGACCAAGAAGAAGGACACGCAGAUGCCAUUUGCUAUCAUGAGGUCUGUUUCUGCCAGCAGAAGAGUGGAGCUUCACGCCGUGACUGACAAGAUGCCUUGGCCAGCAAAGCUUUUCUCAUAUUAGAAAGAUUGGAGAGAAUUGUUUCUAUGGAAGUGGUGAACAUGGGACAGAAGUACUUCUCUCUUGAUAAGACCAGCAUGUGCAAACCAGGAAGAAAAAGUAAAAUCUCCAAUAAUAGAGAGAUAAAUCAAACAGGAAAAAAAAAAGUCUGGGUCCGAAAAACACGUGCAUUCCUGUAGCAGAGUUUAUGCGAGUUUUUUUUUCUUUUUUUCUUUUUUGUGAUGAGGUCACUAUUACUCACAUGGCUGUGUGGGAUAGACAGAGAACAUGCAUAAAUAACAAGAAAGCAAGCAUUCUAAUUUGCGCACCUUGUUUUUUUAAGAGUAUAAUCAUUGGCUGGAAUUAAUAGGAGCAGCUCUGAAUGAAUAACUUACUCAGCAUGUAAGUGAAAUAACUGAGAUUAGAAUCCUGAAUUGUUACCUUGGGCCUGGAGCAUUUACCUCCUUCUCUACCUGCUUAUCUCCAUCUCCUCCAAGGUGUGUUAACCUCAUGAUAAUCAAUCACUUCCAUGAUCAACAAUCUCGCUUCUUUUGAGAUACUCUUAGGAUUUCUGCUCUAAAAACUUAGACUACUGGGACUUGAUUUUCUUUGCUUUUUUCUCAGAAAUGUAUCUCUUUCUUGUCCAGUUGCAGCAAAAUCGAGUGUAUGCGGAGUUAAACUCCUACAAUUAAAUGUGCCAUUUCAGUUAUGGUUUCUUAUUCAGAGUUUUACUUUUUUGUGUCUAGAUUUCAUCUAUUAGUUUUAUAAUCUUCAUUGUACCCCCUUUGUGACAUAAAAAUUCUAUUAAACCAGUUUUACAAACAUUGGAAGGUUAGGAGCAAUAAACAUUGGUACAAAAGUCCCAAUUGAAAUUAAGGGUUUCUCAUAAAACACUACCUUUUAAGGAAAUAUUGCCAAGUAUAAUAUAAUUGUCUUCACUGAAUGUAUCAAUCAGAGUUCUUGAUUGCAGACAACAGAGGCCACCCUAACUGUUGAGGCAGGAAGAGUUUUAUUGAAGGAGUAUUAGGUAGCUCACAUCUAACACACAUAAACUCACAUACGAGUUGUUAUGAUAAUUCAAACUCUCACAUAUACUGUCAAAAGAGUGAAAAGGCAACCCACAGAAUGGGAAAAAAUAUUUGCAAAUCACAUAUCAGAUAAGAGAGUAAUAUACAAAAUGUAUAAAAAACUCCUAAAACUCAACAACAAUGACAAUAACAAAACAACCUGCUUUAAAAAUGGGCAAAGGACUUGAAUAAACAUUUAUCUAAAGAAAACAUACAAACGGCCAAUAAGCACAAGAAAAGAUGCUCAACCUCGCUAGCCAAUGCGGAAAUGCAAAUCAAAACUACAACGAGAUCUCACCUCAUAUCUGUUAGCAUGACUACUCAUUAGCAGCCAUCCUAAUUUUUAAAAACCCAGAAAAUAACAAGUACUAUGAAGAUGUGGGGAAAUCAAAUCCCUUGAUCUUGCUAGUGGGAAGGUAAAAUGAUGCAACUGCUGUGGAAAGCAGUUUAGCUGUUUCUCAAGAAUUACUGUAUGAUCUGACAAUUCCACUCCCAGGGAUGUGAUAUUGUUUGGCUCUGUGUUUCCACCCAAAUCUCAUGUUGAAUUGUAAUCCCCACAUGUUGGAGGAGAGGCCUGGUGGGAAGUGAUUGAAUCAUGGGGGCGGACUUCCCUCUUGCUGUUCUCAUGAUAGUCAAUGUGUUCUCUGGUUGUUUAACAGUGUGUAGUACUUCCCCCUUGGCUCUCUCUCUCUCCUGCUCUGCCAUGUGGAGAAGGUGCUUGCUUCCCCUUUGCCCUUCCACCAUGAUUGUAAGUUUCCUGAGGCCUCCCAAACCAUGCUUCCUGAACAACCUGAGAAACUGUGAGCCAAUUAAACCUCUUUGCUUCAUAAAUUA
rnacentral:lncRNA from 10 species